rnacentral:lncRNA from 12 species
AACUUAAAAUACUGAUCUAAAAAAUAUAUCUCGAUACUUAAAAAAAAAAACACAGAGAUUCUAAAGAGGCAAUGAUAAGAGGACCCACAGCUCUUCUUUCUUGAAUAUACUUCACAAGUAAGUGCCCUUAUGGGAGAAACUACUGUGUGAGUGAGAUACAUCAAAAUAAGAUAAAAACUUUUUUUUUUUUUUUCGCAGAAAUAGUCUCAGAGGUAAAACAGCUGAGGUAUGUCACCAGCUAAGAGAAGAAAAAUCAUGCCUGGUAAAGCAGCCAAAGUCCACUUCUUCAACCUGGCCUUAUAGCUCAGUAACGUUUGUUCUUGGUCAUCAGAGUCACACAUCCAAUUCUGGCAUUGGAAAAACAAAUCAAACUUCAGUCAUACUCUGGGUGAGUCAGUCUCAUUAUUUUCACAUUUUUAGGUCAACAGCAUAAAUUAUGUAAAGUGACAGUUUACACAGUGAGCACGUCUGUGUGUCCAAUUUGUUACCAAUAUUAGCCUUGCAAUCUAUGGACAAGGAGACCUCAACUUAAAUUCAAAUUCAUGGAUGCAGUUGCUAAAUGGAAGGAGAUAACCUAUGAGAUUUACAGAAUCUAUCAUUUCGGCAUCCCCUUCCCUAUUUUUUAGAUUACUCGUGUAUAUAAGUUUGUAGGCUUUAGCACAUUUUUAGUUUACCAUAAAUUGCUCUAAAUUCUAAAAACUAUAUUGUUCACAUUGGAAAGAGAAAUGUUUCUUAAAUUGAGUAGAUGUGUCAAGCAAUGGGAUCCAGAGCAUUUGCAAAUACCCACAAGAGAAGUUAACGGGGAGAAAAAACACAAUUUUUAGAUUGUUAUUAUUGUUUGAGCUAAACACUAAAUGAUGGUUUCAUAAAUCCUGGUUAUUCAAUAAUCCUAGUUAUUCCUGGCUUUUAUCAGCAAACUGGUUAAUGUAAGUGGAACAGAC